UGGGCGAGGAGGGCAAAGCUGUGUGGGGACGUAGGCUGGAGCUAGAAGAGGGUCUGAUGGAGUACUGGAGGCUGCUGUGUGAGAGCGCUGUGUGUGUGUGUGUGUGUGCUGCUGUGUGAGGCUGCUGUGUGAGGCUGCUGUGUGAGUGUGAGGCUGCUGUGUGGGGCUGCUGUGUGUGUGUGUGUGUGUGUGUGUGUGAGGCUGCUGUGUGAGGCUGCUGUGUGAGUGUGAGGCUGCUGUGUGAGGCUGCUGUGUGAGGCUGCUGUGUGGGGACGUAGGCUGAAGCUGGGAGAGGAUCUGAUGGCGUACUGGAGGCCUUUGUUUCUUAUUGAUAUGAUGGGGGUGGACGCUGCUUUGACAGGUGUCUCCUAGACUCAGGGUUACUGCAUCUGUGUGGGAGGUAUGUGCUGUGUGUCUUUGGAUGUGCGUG
ensembl:lncRNA